rnacentral:rRNA from 1 species
GAUGAACGCUGGCGGCGUGCCUAACACAUGCAAGUCGAGCGAACCCUUCGGGGUGAGCGGCGGACGGGUGAGUAACGCGUGGGUAACCUGCCCUAUACACACGGAUAACGUACCAAAAGGUACGCUAAUACGGGAUAAAGUUGUUGGAUGGCAUCUUCUAACAAUCAAAGCUCCGGCGGUAUAGGAUGGACCCGCGUCUGAUUAGCUAGUUGGUGAGGUAAUGGCUCACCAAGGCGACGAUCAGUAGCCGACCUGAAAGGGUGAUCGGCCACACUGGAACUGAGACACGGUCCAGACUCCUACGGGAGGCAGCAGUGGGGAAUAUUGCACAAUGGGCGAAAUCCUGAUGCGGCAACGCCGCGUGAGCGAUGAAGGUCUUCGGAUCGUAAAGCUCUGUCCUCAAGGAAGAUAAUGACGGUACGUGAGGAGGAAGCCCCGGCUAACUACGUGCCAGCAGCCGCAGUAA